rnacentral:rRNA from 1 species
GACGCGGUGUGGCAUACGCCUCGCUGGUCACGGAGCGCGGAGAUGCCGCCGUGAUGGAAGAAGAGCAGAGUCGUGGCUCGGAACCGUGGUCUUUUCCCGAUCCGUAGAUCAGGAAAUUGGAUUUCCGCUAGGCGGUGGUGCCCCAGGCGUAAAUGGGGAAUGGACCCAAGGCAGAGUUGUCUCCUUCCUCUUGAUGCGCCUGUUGGAUCUCUAUUGACGGCAGCGGCUUCCUGUGCAGAUGAGAGCGGCGCUAAUUGGACCACCAUAAAGGAAGAGGUGAACGACAAGGACCUCCCGACGGAGCCGCACACUACCACGCAUUCGCGGAAGGACCUGAAUAGGUGCCCGCCAUGGCGGCAGCUAGCGCGGAAGUGCAGAUUUGUGCGUGGAGUGGCGGCCGAGAUGGAUGUUGCAUCGCUGGCAUGUGAACAAUCAAUUGAUCAGAUUGGCCCAAAAUCUCCAAUCUGAACUCAAGGGUGAGAAUUGGAGCAACUGCUCCAGGAAGGACGCCUUGCCCUGGGCGGCCCAGUGCCGUUGGGAAAGCAAUAUGUGGAUUCGCUGAUAAACCGGGUGAAAAUAUAAUCGUGCCGGCCCUUGGUAGAAGCUUUGAUGCACUCGGCGAGGCCUAUGAUUUUUACAACCUCUUCUUGUGGGAGAAUGGGUAUGGAAUAAGGUACGGCAAGAGUAGACUAAAUGUGGAGAGGACAAAAUGCAUGCAGGGAAUUGUUUGUGGUUGUGCGGGAAAAGUUGGGGUUGAGAACACUAGAUCGUGCCGAUGUGAAAGCCAUGCACUAAUAAGACUAUUCCGAUCAAAGGACAAUGGCUCGUACAUUGCUGAGCAUCGUGAGCAUCACAACCACUCGCUGUCUGCAACAUAUGGGCAGAUAAUACACUGGCCUUCUCACAAGCACAUUGACAUUUACAACAGAGAUUUGGUUGAGCAAUUGCGGCAGAACAAUGUGAACCUAGCCAAAGUACACAACAUUAUCGGAAGUUUUUUGGCUUAAUGGAUAAGUUAUCUUGAGAAAAAGAGCUCUAAAGAAUUUGUGUGGUAAAAUCAGCAGAGAGCAAGCAAAAGAUGAUGUGAGGAAAACUAUGGAGGUUUUUGUUGAGCGGUUCGAGAGAUCCACACUUCACUUAUCAGGUGCAAGCGGACAAAGACGGGCGGGUAACAAAUUUGAUGUGGGAAAAUGGGAGGAGCAGGUUGUAGUACACGUUUUUUGGAGAUGUUACCAUCGAUACAACAUAUAGAACGGACGUGCACAACAUGCCAUUUGGUCUAUUUGUCGGUGUGAAUAAUCUUUUUCAGAGUAUCAUCCUGGCUGGGGUGUUGGUGCGUGAGGAAAAUGUGGAGAUAUUUGAGUGGGUUUUCACAGAGUUCAUUACGAUGAUGGGAGGGAGUGCACCCAAAAACAAUUCUAACAGGUCUGAAUCCAAAUGAUACAACCCAAUUGCGUGACGUCGAUCUGGAAGUGUGUUUGUACAACAUGGAUAUCUAAUAUGAUUUGUCUUGUUGUGCAUAUCAAAACCGCGCUAUGGAGGUUGCCAUAAAGAAUGUGAUGCCUCGGAAAGCCCAUCGUUGGUGCAAGUAGCACAUGCUAAAAAAGGCAAAGGAAGCACUCGGUUCAUUGUACACCAAGAAGAGCGAGUUUAGGGCAAAUUUCCAGAAGCUAGUGAAUCACAUGCUUACAAUCGAUGAAUUCGAGGAAGCUUGGAAGAUCUUGGUUGAGAAAUACAAUCUGAAGACCCAUUCAUAGAUGACACAACUGCAUGAAAUAAGGCACAAGUGGGCGAAGCCAUAUUUUAAAGGGGUCUUCUAUCCUAAGAGAGCACACAGCGGAGUGAAAGUGCAUACCACAUGCUGAAGACUAUGUUCCAUCGGGUUGUGUGGUGCAUAUGUUUGUCAAGAAGUACAUGAGACUUCAGUUUGAUAGGGAAGUAGAGGAGAACUACGAGGAGAAGCGGGCGCGAAUAGGUAGACCGCUGUACAGAGACAAUCUAGAUAUCGAGCGACAUGCUGGUAAGAUAUACGCACGAACUAUGUUCGAGCAGUUUGGGCGUAUACUGUAUGAGUGCGACACAUGCCAAGUGGAAGAACUUGAGAAGGGGAAACUUUAUCUUGCAAUUCAUAGAGAGGUUGCUAGGAGGGAAAAGUGGUGCAGGGUGUCAUAUAAGGUAACUGUACUUGCAGGAGGACAGGAAUUCGACUACGAGUGUGGGCAAUUUGCACACAUGGGAUUCCUAUGCAACCAUGUUUUGAAGUUGCUGGAUUUCAUUCGCAUAACAGAGAUACCAGAGAAACACAUUGUCAAGCGGUGGACCAAGGAUGCACGUGGCAUACUACCAGCUCACCUGACUCAAUAUUAGAGAGAUAAUGUACAAAAGAAUCCAUUCAGCUUCAGGCAUUUUAACAUGUACAUGCAUGCCAUGGAGUUGCUGCGGAUGGGUGAUGCAAGUGUCGAAGCAUAUGAGAAAUUCAUGUCUCUCACUAAGAACUACAGAAUAGAGAUGCAACCUUUUGCUGAAGUUAGGGAUGGGCUAUGAUUGGAGGAUAGGAUAGCUGAGAAUGGAGAUGUCAUCAAUCAGCUGCCGGUGCAACCGAUAGUUGUUGCUGCAAGCGGAGAAGCAUGUAUUGGGACUUUGAAUGAUGAUGCUAAUUCAGCAAAUGAGAGUGGUAACAGGCUUGCUGGAUUGUUGGCACCAAAGAAGCGAAAAGAGAUGGGGCGCCCAACAACUAGCAGGGAGAAAGCACCAUACAAGGUUCUGCACUAUAUCUCCCCAGCGCUGGCACCAGCAGGGGCACAAGAGGACAACCUGUCCGGAUCGGGGUGAUACCCGAAGCCUGUCCGCAAACCUGCUAGGCGCAAAAAUUGUGGCAUUGCAGGUCACAGGAGAAACAACUGUAGCAGAGUGGGUGAUCUGCGAAUGAACGCCAUGUGAGCAGUGGCUCCCGAAAUUUUGUUUUUAUAUAGCCUUUGAUUAUGUAGAACUAAAUGUGUGUGGCGGUUAUUCCGUUUGUAGAACUCUUGUUUCAUAUUUCCUGCGUGAACGGGCUUGCUCGUAGCAAAAUGGCGAGAUGCCUUGUUUGUGAACAAAAAAGAAACUCAUCUCCAUGAAUGUUUGAACUGAUUUCAUGAUGGCAUGCAUGUGUGCU